GUUUUUUUAGUAUACACAGUAUACGUGACUUCCAAUCACGAGGACUAGAAACUUCUAGAAAAAACA
rnacentral:tRNA from 1 species